GCAAGGGGAACCGUAUCUGAUGGGGAUACGCUGAUUGACGUAACACCGGCGCUUCACGGAAGAUUCUUGUUGCAUGAAACAUGGACGCUGUUCCUUUAGCUUGAGCGGAAGCGUUGUGCUCAUAAUGGCCUUAUGUUUCUGCACCGAAGUCUUGAUAGGCUUUGAUGGGCUGCCAAGUACCGCUGCACCAGAAGCCUGGUAGACUUCACUCAUUGCAUGAGGUUCAUCUCCAUCCCAUGUGCAGACAACAGAAUGAAGAAGCCUGAAACUUCAUUGGUCUGGACAAAAGGGUGUUUGCGUCGGAUCAUCUAUCAUGACUGUGGGUUUCUAAGAUCACUUGGGUCUUCUGGUUCUAGUCUGCUCUGCAUUCCCAGAACCAUAACCAACCAUGGAGAAGCAGCAUUCAGCUUCAAGGACCACAAAACUGGAACAAACAUCCA